UGCGAUAAGUAAUGUGAAUUGCAGAAUUCAGUGAAUCAUCGAAUCUUUGAACGCACCUUGCACCCUUUGGUAUUCCGAGGGGUACGCCCGUCUGAGUGUCAUUGUAAUCUCACUCCCCUAGCCUUUGCUGGCCUGGGAGGUGGACUUGGACUCUGCCGUGUCAUCCAUGGCUGGUCUAAAAUGCAUGAGUGUACCCUGCUGUUGCAGCGUCUUCAGUGUGAUAAGCAUCCUCACUGGACAAAGUUCCCUCUAGGACACGCACGCAAGUGGGCUCUGCGCUUCUAACAGUCCCGCUUUUGGGACAGCUUUGACAACUUGACCUCAGAUCGGGUGGGACUACCCGCUGAACUUAAGCAUAUCAAUAAGCGGAGGAAAAGAAACUAACAAGGAUUCCCCUAGUAACGGCGAGUGAAGAGGGAAAAGCUCAAAUUUUGAAUCUGGUGUCUUUGGCGCCCGAGUUGUAAUCUAGAGAAGUGUUUUCUGCCUCGGACCACACAUAAAUUCCCUGGAAUGGGGUUUCAUAGAGGGUGAGAAUCCCGUUUGUGGUGUGGACUACCUUGGCUCUGUGAUACACUCUCAACGAGUCGAGUUGUUUGGGAAUGCAGCUCAAAAUGGGUGGUAAAUUCCAUCUAAAGCUAAAUAUUGGCGAGAGACCGAUAGCGAACAAGUACCGUGAGGGAAAGAUGAAAAGCACUUUGGAAAGAGAGUGAAACAGUACGUGAAAUUGUUGAAAGGGAAGCGUUUGAAGUCAGUCGCAUCUGUCGGGACUCAGCCUGGCUUUGCCUGGUGUACUUCCUGGUGGAUGGGUCAGUGUCAGUUUUGAUCGGGAGAAAAAGGCUUGGGGAAUGUGGCUGUCUUCGGGCAGUGUUAUAGCCCCU
rnacentral:rRNA from 1 species